rnacentral:rRNA from 2 species
UACGGAGGGUGCAAGCGUUACUCGGAAUCACUGGGCGUAAAGAGCACGUAGGCGGCCUUGCAAGUCAGAUGUGAAAUCCAACGGCUUAACCGUUGAACUGCAUUUGAAACUGCAAGGCUAGAGUAUGGGAGAGGUAGGUGGAAUUCUCGGUGUAGGGGUAAAAUCCGUAGAGAUCGAGAGGAAUACUCAUUGCGAAGGCGACCUGCUGGAACAUUACUGACGCUGAGGUGCGAAAGCGUGGGGAG